GAUGAACGCUGGCGGCGUGCCUAAUACAUGCAAGUCGAGCGAACGGACGAGAAGCUUGCUUCUCUGAUGUUAGCGGCGGACGGGUGAGUAACACGUGGAUAACCUACCUAUAAGACUGGGAUAACUUCGGGAAACCGUAGCUAAUACCGGAUAAUAUUUUGAACCGCAUGGUUCAAAAGUGAAAGACGGUCUUGCUGUCACUUAUAGAUGGAUCCGCGCUGCAUUAGCUAGUUGGUAAGGUAACGGCUUACCAAGGCAACGAUGCAUAGCCGACCUGAGAGGGCGAUCGGCCACACUGGAACUGAGACACGGUCCAGACUCCUACGGGAGGCAGCAGUAGGGAAUCUUCCGCAAUGGGCGAAAGCCUGACGGAGCAACGCCGCGUGAGUGAUGAAGGUCUUCGGAUCGUAAAACUCUGUUAUUAGGGAAGAACAUAUGUGUAAGUAACUGUGCACAUCUUGACGGUACCUAAUCAGAAAGCCACGGCUAACUACGUGCCAGCAGCCGCGGUAAUACGUAGGUGGCAAGCGUUAUCCGGAAUUAUUGGGCGUAAAGCGCGCGUAGGCGGUUUUUUAAGUCUGAUGUGAAAGCCCACGGCUCAACCGUGGAGGGUCAUUGGAAACUGGAAAACUUGAGUGCAGAAGAGGAAAGUGGAAUUCCAUGUGUAGCGGUGAAAUGCGCAGAGAUAUGGAGGAACACCAGUGGCGAAGGCGACUUUCUGGUCUGUAACUGACGCUGAUGUGCGAAAGCGUGGGGAUCAAACAGGAUUAGAUACCCUGGUAGUCCACGCCGUAAACGAUGAGUGCUAAGUGUUAGGGGGUUUCCGCCCCUUAGUGCUGCAGCUAACGCAUUAAGCACUCCGCCUGGGGAGUACGACCGCAAGGUUGAAACUCAAAGGAAUUGACGGGGACCCGCACAAGCGGUGGAGCAUGUGGUUUAAUUCGAAGCAACGCGAAGAACCUUACCAAAUCUUGACAUCCUUUGACAACUCUAGAGAUAGAGCCUUCCCCUUCGGGGGACAAAGUGACAGGUGGUGCAUGGUUGUCGUCAGCUCGUGUCGUGAGAUGUUGGGUUAAGUCCCGCAACGAGCGCAACCCUUAAGCUUAGUUGCCAUCAUUAAGUUGGGCACUCUAAGUUGACUGCCGGUGACAAACCGGAGGAAGGUGGGGAUGACGUCAAAUCAUCAUGCCCCUUAUGAUUUGGGCUACACACGUGCUACAAUGGACAAUACAAAGGGCAGCGAAACCGCGAGGUCAAGCAAAUCCCAUAAAGUUGUUCUCAGUUCGGAUUGUAGUCUGCAACUCGACUACAUGAAGCUGGAAUCGCUAGUAAUCGUAGAUCAGCAUGCUACGGUGAAUACGUUCCCGGGUCU
rnacentral:rRNA from 1 species